GGGGCAACUCUUAAGUGGAGUGGCGGACGGGUGAGUAAUACGUAGGAAUCUGCCCUAGAGUGGGGGAUAACCUGUCGAAAGGCGGGCUAAUACCGCAUAAUCUCUAAGGAGCAAAGGGGGCUAGCAAUAGCUUUCGCUCUAGGAUGAGCCUACGUCGGAUUAGCUAGUUGGUAGGGUAAAGGCCUACCAAGGCGACGAUCCGUAGCUGGUCUGAGAGGACGAUCAGCCACACUGGAACUGAGACACGGUCCAGACUCCUACGGGAGGCAGCAGUGGGGAAUAUUGGACAAUGGGGGAAACCCUGAUCCAGCAAUGCCGCGUGUGCGAUGAAGGCCUGAGGGUUGUAAAGCACUUUCGUUGGGGAGGAAAUACUCAAAGCUAAUAUCUUUGAGAGCUGACGUUACCCAAAGAAGAAGCACCGGCAAACUCUGUGCCAGCAGCCGCGGUAAUACAGAGGGUGCAAGCGUUAAUCGGAGUUACUGGGCGUAAAGGGCGCGUAGGCCGAUGUUUAAGUUAAUUGUGAAAUCCCUGGGCUUAACCUAGGAAUUGCAGUUAAUACUGGACAUCUAGAGUAUGGUAGAGGAAAGUGGAAUUCUCGGUGUAGUGGUUAAAUACGUAGAUAUCGAGAAGAACACCGGUGGCGAAGGCGACUUUCUGGACCAAUACUGACGCUGAGGCGCGAAAGCGUGGGGAGCAAACAGGAUUAGAUACCCUGGUAGUCCA
rnacentral:rRNA from 1 species